CUGACGUAAAGCUUCCUAUAAAUACUUCAGCGGCGGAAUCAAAGCUCUCUUGUUUCUGGUGGAUCGUGAGAAGAGGACACACAAAAUGGGACUGAAAACGAGACGGGGAGAAGUCACCCUUCAGAUUCUGCUGCCCCUGUGGGACAUGAGGUGACAGCGCAGACCUCAGACCAGCUCGGUUUUCUCCGGCCUGACCUGCAGAACUGAAGCAACGACACGAUGUGUCAGCUGCAGUGAUUGAUCUCCUCGUUGCAGGCUUCAUGAGUCGUCUCUGGAUCUGAUGGCGUUCAGCAACACUGAAGGUCUCUAUGAUGGCGUGCUGGAUGACUGAUGAUGGACUGACUUGCAGACGGAUUUCUGCUGAAGUGAAAACAUCCCGUCUCUGGAUCUGAUGACUUGCCGCAACACUGAAGAAAGCUGAAACCAUCCUGGAGCGUGACGUCGCUGUCUCUGCAGCCUACGGAGCAGAUUGAUGCAGAACCAUCAGAAACCAGCGGAGAGCAUGAACACCAGCACUUGUAUCUGCAAUCACUGAUUUUGGAUUCAUAAAUAAUCUGUGCUCAGUGAUAGAUUUAGAAAACACCUGAUUGUUUGAAUUUAAAUAAAACACUUUGAAAGAUUAA